UACGUAGGGGGCUAGCGUUGUCCGGAAUCAUUGGGCGUAAAGAGCGUGUAGGCGGCCCGGUAAGUCCGCUGUGAAAGUCGGGGGCUCAACCCUCGAAUGCCGGUGGAUACUGUCGGGCUAGAGUGCGGAAGAGGCGAGUGGAAUUCCUGGUGUAGCGGUGAAAUGCGCAGAUAUCAGGAGGAACACCGAUUGCGAAGGCAGCUCGCUGGGACGUCACUGACGCUGGAGGCGCGAAGGCGUGGGGAGCGAACGGG
rnacentral:rRNA from 1 species